UACGAAGGGGGCUAGCGUUGCUCGGAAUUACUGGGCGUAAAGGGCGCGUAGGCGGGUCGUUAAGUUAGAGGUGAAAGCCCAGGGCUCAACCCUGGAAUUGCCUUUAAUACUGUCGACCUCGAGUAUGGCAGAGGUGUGUGGAACUCCGAGUGUAGAGGUGAAAUUCGUAGAUAUUCGGAAGAACACCAGUGGCGAAGGCGACACACUGGGCCAUUACUGACGCUGAGGCGCGAAAGCGUGGGGAGCAAACAGG
rnacentral:rRNA from 1 species